GGCGCUAUGGCGGAGUGGCCACGCGCCGGGCCGCAAGCCCGGAAACCCACGUUCGAAUCGUGGUGGCGCCUCCA
rnacentral:tRNA from 1 species